rnacentral:tRNA from 1 species
GGGUCGUUAGCUCAGUUGGUAGAGCAGUUGGCUUUUAACCAAUUGGUCGCUGGUUCGAAUCCAGCACGGCCCACCA